rnacentral:rRNA from 1 species
UACGGAGGGGGCUAGCGUUGUUCGGAAUUACUGGGCGUAAAGCGCACGUAGGCGGCUUUGUAAGUUAGAGGUGAAAGCCCAGGGCUUAACCCUGGAAUUGCCUUUAAGACUGCAUCGCUAGAAUCGUGGAGAGGUGAGUGGAAUUCCGAGUGUAGAGGUGAAAUUCGUAGAUAUUCGGAAGAACACCAGUGGCGAAGGCGGCUCACUGGCCCGAUACUGACGCUGAGGCACGAAAGCGUGGGGAGCAAACAGG